rnacentral:lncRNA from 1 species
AUGGUAGUAUUAUUUUUGACAAAAAGAUAUUAGUUUUUGAAUUAUAGGUAUUUUUAGCCUUAAAAUUGGAUUUAAGCUUAGAAUGAUUAUAGACCUUUGAUCUUGGUUAGGAAUUUUUUGAUUUGGAUGGUAGAGAUGUGGCAUCCACCUUUGGACCUCCUCCCACUUGAUUAAGAGGGCUUAAAUCGCUAAGCUCCCUUGCUCUCUUCUUCCUUUUGUGAUGCAAAGCCGUGCCAAAUUAUUUUUAGGCUUUUAAUUGAAGAAAUUUUCUCCUACCUUCUC